GCCUCCAUAGCCUAAUGGUGAGGGCGCCAGACUUCUAAUCUGGAGAUUCCGAGUGACCCUCGGUGGAGGCU